GCAGAGUAAGUGAAGGAACCUCAUGGGUAGGUUGAAGCUGCUGAAUGUGGAGGAUCAUUGGACUGAGUAUGCCAUACUGCAGAUUCCUGAGUAUGUUGAAGCUGCUGAAUGUGGAGGACCAUGGGACUGAGUAUGCCAUGCUGCAAAUUCCUGAG